rnacentral:rRNA from 1 species
GACGAACGCUGGCGGCGUGCUUAACACAUGCAAGUCGAACGGAAAGGCCUGCUUUCCCUUGUGGAUUGCGGGUACUCGAGUGGCGAACGGGUGAGUAACACGUGAGUGAUCUGCCCCCAACUUGGGUAUAAGCCUGGGAAACUGGGUCUAAUUCCCGAUAGGACUGCAGGGUGGUGCCUGUGGUGGAAGACGAUUUUCUAGUGGUUGGGGAUGAGCUCGCGGCCUAUCAGCUUGUUGGUGGGGUAAUGGCCUACCAAGGCGGCGACGGGUAGCCGGCCGGAGAGGGUGGACGGCCACAUUGGGACUGGGACACGGCCCAGACUCCUACGGGAAGCAGCAGUGGGGAAUAUUGCACAAUGGGCGGAAGCCUGAAGCAGCGACGCCGCGUGGGGGAUGACGGCCUUCGGGUUGUAAGCUCCUUUCGACCGCGAGGAAGCCACCUGGUUGGAAGGGUGGUGACGGUAGUGGUAGAAGAAGCACCGGCUAACUACGUG